UAAUUUUAGAGUUUCACAUAUAAUAUACCAUCUUGUAUUAAUAUCGAUCUAAACCUGUCAAUUUUAGGAUUUUUCAG
rnacentral:sRNA from 1 species